ACAGUCAGCCGGAUAGUCGUCUCGGAUUUAGAGUCCGGGAAGGAAAGUCCGAACUCCGCCGGGCAGGAUGCUCGAUAACAUCGAGGUGUGGCUGGCUGAGAUCAGCUGCAGGGAAAGUGCCACAGAAACAAUACCGUCCCGGUUUACCGGGAUAAGGGUGAAAUGGUGCGGUAAGAGCGCACCGGUUUCGCCGUAAGGCGAAAUGCCGGGUAAACCCCAUCCGGAGAAAGGUCAAGCAGGAGAGAGGGCAGCUGCCCGCUGCUUCCGGUCCGCCGGAACUCUCCGGGUAGACCGCUUCAGGUCACGUGUAAGCGUGAUCGCAGAUAAAUGACUAUCCAGCCCGAGUGAUCGGGUGGACAGAAUUCGGCUUACAGGCUGGCUGCAACU
rnacentral:RNase_P_RNA from 1 species